rnacentral:rRNA from 1 species
UACGAAGGGGGCUAGCGUUGCUCGGAAUUACUGGGCGUAAAGCGCACGUAGGCGGCUUUCUAAGUCGGGGGUGAAAUCCUGGAGCUCAACUCCAGAACUGCCUUCGAUACUGGAAAGCUCGAGUCCGGGAGAGGUGAGUGGAACUGCGAGUGUAGAGGUGAAAUUCGUAGAUAUUCGCAAGAACACCAGUGGCGAAGGCGGCUCACUGGCCCGGUACUGACGCUGAGGUGCGAAAGCGUGGGAGCAAACA